rnacentral:rRNA from 1 species
UGGGGAAUUUUACACAAUGGGGGAAACCCUGAUGUAGCAACGCCGCGUGGAGGAUGAAGGUCUUUGGAUUGUAAACUCCUUUUCUACAAGAAGAUUAUGACGGUAUUGUAGGAAUAAGCACCGGCUAACUCCGUGCCAGCAGCCGCGGUAAUACGGAGGGUGCAAGCGUUACUCGGAAUCACUGGGCGUAAAGCGCAUGUAGGCGGUCUAUUAAGUCUUGUGUGAAAUCUAGUAGCUUAACUACUAAACUGCAUGGGAAACUGGUAGACUAGAGUAUGGGAGAGGUAGGUGGAAUUCCUGGUGUAGGGGUAAAAUCCGUAGAGAUCAGGAGGAAUAUUUAUUGCGAAGGCGACCUACUGGAACUUUACUGACGCUAAGAUGCGAAAGCGUGGGGAGCAAA